UUUUUUUCUUUCAAAAUUCCUCACACUCUUCAUACAUGACAAGAUUUCAUUUUUUCUUUGCCUCACUUCUCAUUGUCUCAUCUCACUUUCACUCGCGCGGUUUCAAGCUUCAAUCAUGGUUCCUUCUAUCUCUCGUGCGCAUCAACUCGUUUUGCUAUUGGAUCCUCAUAUGCUAAGCUUGAUGGUGUAGGAGUUGAUGAGUAGUACUCAAUUUCAGAUCCAGAAUUAUUAGCAGAGUGCAUGUAUUUCAUGUAAAGUUGGAUGGAAGCAUGGAGCAGUAAUUUGCCUUUUGAUAAUUAGGACGCAUUAAACAACCCACUCUUUGGAAGUGAAUGAAGGGAUAAGUACUCCAAUUUCUUUCGCAACAAGAUGAAGAAUUAGGUUGUACAAAAAGCUUUAAAGAAAGCUUUUGAAGGAGAGGGGCAGAAGAACCAUGCAUUACCCACCAGGAUUUAGCAUCUAAUGCCCAUCUAUCUUCAAUCGAGUCAAAAGAAGCAAAAUUAUGAGCUUUUGAUAAAAAAUCAGCAUAUUCAAGAGAAACCUUUCUUCUUUCUUUAGUUGUUGUGAAAAGUUUUUUUAAACAUUUAUUUCUUUCCAUAGAAAUUUCUUCAUCCUCAUAUGGGGAAAUUCUAUUUGGAACCUCUUGAAGCCAUUCAUCACUAUAGUACCUGUGAAUAAAUAAAAAAGUUAAUAAAUAAAAAAUUUAGUAACUAUCAAAUUAUUUAUAAAUAAAUAAUAAAACAAAUAAAUAUUUAAUAGGCUAAUUUUACCUAGGAUUCAAAGAGUGAGCCAUGCAGUGGAGAGGGGUGCAACUCUUAGUUCACCUAUCAAUUAGUAUAGAAUAAAUAACUUCAUAAAAUGUUGAUGUAUCAUUUAACUCUUUUCCUUCAUAUCUAUAUAUAGACGUCUUUACUUUUUCUAUCAUACUAUCUCACAUCUCAUAGACCAAAUGAAGUGUGAGAAUAUCUAUGUCACAAGCCCUAAGCAUACUAUAAAUAGGCUCGGUGAAAUUAAGAAUAUAUGUAAUUUUGUCCCACCACACAUCAUUCAAAAUAAAUUCUUUUGUAGCUUGGGCCUUACCCAUCAUCGUCUCUAUAAGAGUUCCAUUCUUCACUAAUAACCAUUGAUUGCAAAGCACCUUUCAAAAGUUUAAAUCUCUUUAACAUCACUAGAAUAGAUGCAAAGCGUGUUUCAGCUAUAGCAAGCAAUUUUAGAGGUGAAAAGUGAUUAAAAAUUGCCAAUCUCAUUGAGUGAUUCAUGAUAAAGUUCCUAACAAAAGAAACAUCAUCAACAACUUGAGUAAUCCAAUUACAUUCAGCAUAAGCUACCUCAUUCCUUUCAGUGUUUUUGGUAGCACAUAUAUUCUUCAACACAAGGUUCAAUGUGUGAACAACACAAGGAGUCCAAAAAAUUUUAGGAAAAGAAAUUUCAACAAUCAUUCCAACACCUUUGCAUACAGGAGAAUUAUCUGUUAUAAUUUGAACAACAUUUUGUUCUCCUACUUCUUUUAUAACUUCUAUCAUCUUAUCAGCCAUAUAAUGUUUUUUUUAAUCUCAUCAAAAGCAUUAAUAACUUUUAAAAAUAUUGGACCCCCUUCACUUGUAGCCAUCAAAUUAAUUAAAGGUCUUCUUUGAACACCUGUCCAUCCAUCAGAUACUAUGCUAACACCUUUUGCAAUCCAAGUCGAUUUAAUAGCUUUAAGCAACCUCUCAACUCGUGUCUUCUCUUGUUGUAAGAGAGUUGUCCUCAAGGCAUUGUAUCCAGAAGGGAGAAAACCAUUAAGCAUGUGAUUUGCAGCAAAUGAAUAAGAAUUCACAUAAUAGGGAUUUCUGGCAAGGUUGAAGGGCAAUCCAGAAGAAUAAAACAUUCUAGCAAUGAGAGCUUUGAGAUUAUCUCUAUUUUCUAAAUUAAAUUUUUUCUCCAAAGGACCAACGUUUCUUUUUUUCAAUAAAGAACUCUGAUGCAUUUUCUCUGUAGGCAAUGAGACAUGCUUAGGUUUUACUUUAUUUUUAGCCAAUUCAAUAAUUGAUUUUAAUUCAACCAAAUAUUGAUCAUUUACACUUGCAGACACGGAAAUUCUAGUUCCAUAAAUCCUCAACAAAUGAGUUUUAACUUUUGAAUAAGAACUUUUAUAAACCUUUUGACAAAAAUUACAAAACCAACUCUUAUUUCCUUCCCCUUCUGAAUUUUUAUCUAAUAUGCUAACAUAACACCAAAGAGGAGCAUGAUCAUCUUGUACAACAUCAGCAGAAACGAACUUACUUGAAAUUUUAGAAUUGAUAUUAGAAUCAGAACCAGAAGCAUUUGCUAUUGACAUUAUAAAUAAAUAAUUUUUAUGCUUCUGCAAAAAAAAAAGUAUAUCUAUGUUAAAUUGCUAAUUGUUAAAUAAAUUAUACAACUU